GUGUCAGCAGCCGCGGUAAUACAGAGGGUGCGAGCGUUGUUCGGAAUUAUUGGGCGUAAAGCGCAUGUAGGCGGCUUGUUAAGUCGCGUGUGAAAGCUCCAGGCUCAACCUGGAAAGUGCGCGCGAAACUGGCGAGCUUGAGUGCCGGAGAGGGUGGCGGAAUUCCCGGUGUAGAGGUGAAAUUCGUAGAUAUCGGGAGGAACACCAGAGGCGAAGGCGGCCACCUGGACGGACACUGACGCUGAGACGCGAAAGCGUGGGGAGCAAACAGGAUUAGAUACCCGAGUAGUCC
rnacentral:rRNA from 1 species